CUACGGCCAUACCACGUUGAAAAUACCGGUUCUCGUCCGAUCACCGAAGUCAAGCAACGUCGGGCGUGGUUAGUAAUUAAAAUUGUAGUUCCACUUGGGAACACCACGUGUUGUAG